UACGGGGGGUGCAAGCGUUGUUCGGAUUUACUGGGCGUAAAGGGCGCGUAGGCGGCCUCCGCAAGUCAGUUGUGAAAUCUCCGAGCUUAACUCGGAAAGGUCAACUGAUACUGCGGGGCUAGAGUGCGGAAGGGGCAACUGGAAUUCUUGGUGUAGCGGUGAAAUGCGUAGAUAUCAAGAGGAACACCUGCGGCGAAGGCGGGUUGCUGGGCCGACACUGACGCUGAGGCGCGAAAGCUAGGGGAGCGAACAGG
rnacentral:rRNA from 1 species